AUUUAGCUAUGUAAACUUACCCCUAUUACCUUAGUCCCUUAUGGGGCUUAUGGCUUUUCCUUUGUCUUAGGUGGUUGAGAGACAGAACAGUUUGACUUGAGCACUAACUUUCUCAUUCUUAGCAAGUUUCAUAUCAGAGGUUUUGUGAUAUUUUCAAAAGAAAGCUUAAAUGUUCCUCUUAUGGUUCUCUCAUGUCACUCAAAUGGUGUAUGAUUCCUCACCAAGGCAUAUGGUAAGAGUUGCCUUCUCUAUUUCAUCCUAUUUCUAAAAGGCUUAUGUGGAGUUCAAGGUAGGGAUGAAAGGAGAUAGCAUACUUACUUUGCAUGUAUUGCGAAGUCAAAGCUCGGAUCCUUGAAGAGAAGUGUCAUACUCCCAGAUCAAGAUGUGCAAGUGUGAUAUAUGGUGGACUAGGUUGCUCCUUUAUUUGAUAGACUCUCUAUGUAUUGAGACAUGGCUAGCAUUUUUUUCUUCUUUUUAUAUAUAUAUAUAUAGGAGCUUUCAUGUGCUCAAUUUUCUUUUUCUGUGGACUUGCACAUGUCCAUCUUUUUAUUUCAUUUUGCCUAGCCCUUUUGAUGUCUCAUUUACCAAAUAAUGCUUAGAGAGAUGUUCUAACAUUUAGAGUAUGGAGCAACCUAUUUAGUGGAUGCGAAAUACAUGUGGUUGCGUACUUCCAGUGUAGAAGCAGCAUAUAUAUAUGUGGUGUGUACGUGAUCUUGAUCUUAGGAGCAUGAAAAGUCUCUUAACAAGGGUCAACAAGACUUGACGACACUCAACACAAAGCGAAUAGCUUAUGUGGAAAGGUUGCAAUUAUGUAAAGUAGAUAUGGCUGUGGUAGGAAUUCAUCACCAUUGAGGAACAAUUAAGGUUUUGAUCAUUUUAAGAAUAAAUCUCUGAUAAUCAUGCAUGCUUAGAAAAACAUUAUAGUAGCUCUUGUCUUACUAUCUCAUGUCCCACAACAACUUAGACUUAGUUCUAGCACUUGUAACCCACAAAGUUUUUAGGUUCAUGGCAGUUUAAGUGAGCUAAGUGAUCCAUACUUAGAGAAAUACUAAGUUGUAUACUAGGCACUAGAGAAACAUUAACAAGCAACUAGUCAUAAUUUCCAUGAGGGAUAUAAACAUACAUGAAGCAUAUAUGCUAAAGGGAAAUGCUAAUAAAUAUUUAUUUUUUUUAAGUAAGAAUGAUAAAAUGCAUGAAAAUAAAUAGGAUAGAAUACUUACCUUAGUGGGGGAGAGGAUCUCCCCCAAGCUAGAUCUUCGCUCACUGUGGUGGCGGGAAAUUUUGGUACCAUCCAGCCCAGCGUUGUGCGUCUUCCUCUCGCACACGUCGGAUAUGUUGGCCGUUUUGUAACGCCAGUUGCAAUGUUGCUUCUUGCCCAAUCUGCAAUUCGCCCAUGUCUUUAAUGAGACUGUCCAUACCUGUGGGCUGGUGACGCCUAGCCCUGUCCCUUGGGCGUGGAGUGCGUUGUGGAGGUAGACCCAUGGAGUCUGAAGCAUCCACUGACAUCGCUUCAUCGCCCUCUUCAACGUCAUGGUGCGAGGAUCCUCCUUGCUCCAUCUGGGCGGCUUGCAUCAUCCUUCUUGUCACCCUGCGUGUCCCUACAACAUCUGGACUUGCCACUCGGGCUAGUCUAAUGGUAAGUGUGCGGACCCCAUACAACCAGCGCCUCGCACAUGGGAGAGGAAUUUCGGUUGUAUAGCCCGGAUAAAUCAUUUUAAGUUCACCAUUUGGAUCUCUUAUGAGCAUGUUAGCAUUGAUAAAGAAGUUCUCAUCUACCACUCCUCUAACAUAGCCAAUGUCUUCAAAAUAAUGUGAUUCAAGUAAUCCAAAAGUAUCGGCUAUUCGAGUAAUAAAGGAUGUGAAAUAGAUGGGCUUCCCAUACUCAAUAGAGUUAAGCCAAUAGUUCACUAGCAGUUUCACAGGGGAGACCUUGAUUUUACUAACCAUGGCAUAGAGAAUUUUAAGUUCAUCAUCAAUGAAAGUAUCAGUUCCCAUGCCAGGAUAUAGAGUGCACAUGAUCCAGAAGUGAAGAAAGCGCAAGGUUGGAUUAUGGAUUUCAAUGGGAGUAGGAUUUGAACAAUCAUUAGAGCCAGAAAUUGCUUUCCAGAAUCUAAAUUUAUCGAACAUUCUAGUGGCAUGAUCUAGAUCAAGUUCACAUUCAUGUUCACACCCUAAAGCAGUGUUUAGCAAACUCCAAUUUAAUUGAUGUUCUUGCUCACACAUGCGAAAAGAUAUUCCAUUAUUUGUGAGUUUUAGGGUGCAUAGAAAUUCCUUAGCAAGCAAUUCUUUUCCAAAUUCAGGCACUUGCCAAAAACUACUCCAACCAAUUGCUCUAAACACCUUAUCGAGUUCAACAUCCAUACCUGUGCGGGCCAAAAGGUCCGGAUCGAUGAUGCUAGUGUGUAGGAAGAGACCCUCUCGGAUGAUGUAGUACCUUUGCAACUCUUCUUGGCUUAACAUGAGGCCGCUCUCGGGCUCUCUCAUCCUUGAUGGAGGCUCGUAGGGUACCAUCCCAUGGUAACCUUCUUCUUCCUCCCUUCCAUGAGCAUGGUGAGAGCCUUGAGAAGAGCUCUCACCCUUUGCUUUCUUGAACUUGCCGAAGAUAUGCUUCUUCAUCCUCCUACACAAGUGAGGCAAACCAAGCUCCUACUACUACUACUAUGCAAGGGGAAUCUUUUUGGGUUUUUGUUUUGAUGACUAUUUCUAAACUAAACUUGAGAAAUGGCUUGUAACAAAGAGAGAAGAGAAAGGAUUGUGAGCUCGAAAUGGUUCUGGUGGUUUUGGGUGUGGAGUUGAGCUCACAAUGCUGUGGUAUUUAUAGGGGGAGAAGGGCAAGUAGUGGACCCACAAUAUAGGGGUCGGCCGACCCCCCCUAGAAGCACUUUGAAUUUGAGUUUAGCUUUAUGCAGGGAACCAUUCUGCAUGCUUUCAAGAUUUUGCAGAGAUGGUCCAAAAUGGGGGUCGGCCAACCCCCAUCCUAGCCCCUCCUCCACUUUAAACAUUGUGUCAUUGAUUGUCCGGAAAAGUAAAGGCUAGGUGUGGACCAAAAGUUUUCAAAUUGUUUCUGAGAUUCCCUGUUUUAGUGCUUUGUGAAAGGUAAAAGAUGAAUGGCAAAAGUGGAGACAUGUCUAAAGUGAUUCCUAUGGACCAUGGGAGCACUCAAGCAUGCCUAGGUGACCACUUUGCAGAAUUUAAGCUAGUGGAGUGGUCCCAAAAGAAUCAAAGAUGAAAGGAGCAUCUUAUGACUAAAGUAAAGGAUCAAGGGACCACUCUUUUUCAAACUUUAGCUAGUGUUACAAGCAUAGGACUCCAUUGUGAUUCAAAUGGUGGCCAGCAGGAGGCAAGUGGGGCCAAUAUGGGGGUCGGCCGACCCCCACAUUGGAGCUCCCAGAGCAUCCAAGUGCUGGGUUGGAACCUCUAUGACUAGCAAGGUUGAAAUGUGGUGAAGUGGGCCCCAAGGUGGGGUCGGGCGACCCCCCUUUGGGAGCUCCAGCAGCUCAAAUUUUUAUGACAAGUUAUUCUCAAGAUUUUAUUUAUUAUGGCUAAACAUUUUGUCGAAAUAAGAUAUGCAAAAUUCAAAGAAAGAAUGCAAUUGAAAAGUGAAUAGUAGAAAUUGAAAUGCAGAAAAUAAAUAUGGGAUAACUACUGAUUUACCUUAUCAGCAAGGGCUCCAUGUUUUAGGUCCGUAGAGCAGGACCUCUCCAUCUUGUUCAUCCUUCGGGUGCAUCAGAUGGUCCCGGAGACGUGGACCUUGAUUGCACCUCUUUCUCCCGCCAUACUUGCUUGGUAUUGAUUUUUGGUUCAGCGGGUUCCUCUUCUUUCUUUUCGGCCCUUUUGGCCGACUUACCUCUCUUGUCCCUUCGGCGUCGGAUGUGGCGAGGCUUAGUCGGAGGUUCUUUGUCCUUCACCUGCAUGUUAGCUUUAUAACCAUUGAAUGGACAUUUUACCUUCCAUCCUGGGAAUUGGAGGUGAAUCUGGCCAGACCCCACAUAGAUGACUGCAUUGACCGUGUUGAGGAAUGGCCUUCCCAAGAUGAUCGAGACAUCAUUAUUGGAUCCCAUAUCCACCAUCUGCAAACGAACAAAUGUGGGGUGCAAAGGCCCCCCCUAGCAAAUUAUCAUAAGUUACCUUGGCCAUGAUGUUGACACCCGAUCCAAGGUCGCAGAAGGCAUUGUGGAAGAUUUGCGGUCCGAUCUCACAGGUGAUGGUCGGCAGGCCUGGGUCGUCUUUCUUGGUGAUGAAGGGCGAAUCCAGAAGAUAGCUCCAGUUGGAUUGUACCGGAGGCUUAACCGAACCUCGUAGUAACUAGUUUAAACUCCUUCAAUUGGGUCCUCAGGUUUCCCUGGGAUCUUACCUUGCUCGAAGGAUGGGACAGCUGCUGCUAAUUGAGCUAAUUGUGUUUCUAGCAUUUUGUUAAAGCUCAACUGAUUUUUCAUAGCAGAGUUAAAGCUAUCCAACUUUUCACUUAAGUUUUCAAGGAUCUUAUCAUUAGCCAUCAUUUUCUUGUUAAUGCUAUCAUUGAUUUUAGAUUGGCCUAAGACAAGAUCUCUAAGAGAAGGUUGGUUACCAAAAGAAUUAUUGAAAUUUUGAUUGUAACCAUUACCUUGAUUACCUUGGUAGAAGGGGCGCGAGUUCCAUUGCUGUUGUUGGGGCCGGUACCCAUUGUUGUUGUUGUUGAUGAAGCUCACUUCCUCCUUUGUUUCGGGACAAUUGUUUCCCGAAUGAUCAUCUCCUCCGCACACUUCGCACCAUGAAUCAGAUUCAAUGGCCCGUGCAGUGGCGUAAGGUUGAAUGGUCUCUUGCUUGGAACUUUCUUCCAUCUUCUUCAUUAAGAGGUCCAUCUUAGCAGAGAGCAUGUCCACCUCAUUCAAGGCAUGGACACCUCUUCUCUUGGGUUGGAGGCGUUCCUCAUUCCAUCCUUGGUUUAUAACCAUCUUUUCAAUGAGGUCCUUGGCAUCCUUGACAUUGUGUUGCAAGAAUGCUCCUCCAGCGGCAGCAUCAAGGUGACUACGGGCCAAACCGGUCAGGCCAUGGUAGAAACCUUGGAUUAGGAGCCACUCCUCUAUCCCAUGAUGAGGACAGGCGCGAAUGUACUCCUGCAGACGUUCCCAUGCUUCGGGAAUCGUCUCAUCCGCUUGCUGUUGGAAGCUGGAAAUCUUUCCACGAAGGGCGCUGGUCUUAACUAUCGGAAAGAACUUCUUGAGAAAUGCAUUGGCGCACCUCUCCCACGUGGUCACUUCACCCUUGUUGGCGUAGAACCAUUGCUUCGCCUUCCCCAAUAACGAGAAUGGGAAGAGGCGAAGAUGGAUGGCGUCUGCGGCGACAUUCUUGAUGGUGAAGGUGCCGCACACCUCCAAGAAGUGUUGGAGAUGGGCAUUGGCAUCCUCGUGUGGCUUUCCACAAAAGGGAUUGGCUUGCACCAUAUUGAUAAGCGCAGGCUUCAACUCAAAAGUCGCAUCCCCCAAGUUAAGCUGCGGACCCGUGGCGACAUUGUCAGCCGACGGCGCAGAGUACUCAGAGAUGGUCUUCUGGGCCAUAGCUUCUUUGAUAACCGGUGCAGAUACUCCUUCCUCUAACGGAUUCAGGUUCGAGAUGAACCUUUGAGGUGGAACUUGACGACGUCUAGUUCUCCUCAACAGUUGCUCAGGAUCUUCAACGAAGUUUGACGGCAAUUGGAAACCGCUCAUACACUGUCAGGCUUCACAAUAAAGGAAGACAAGACAAGUGAUGGGUUAUCCCUAUCACUACUUGAUAACUAGCAAACUCUGGAUUCUCUUUUUGUUAAAACUCUUAGACAGACGCUCUCCCCGGCAACGGCGCCAGAAAUGCUUGUUGACACUUCUUAACGCAACCACCGGAUAUCGGCGACGGCGCCAGAAGUGCCCUGGUAGGGUAACUCUAUUUACUAUUGGAUAAUUCCGCAAGCGCACAGAAUGUACCGCUGUAGCACUUCACCAAGGAGUAUUCCAAGGUAUCGUAAUUUAUAUUUUCCCAAGGGAAAGCGGCUAAGUGUGUUUAACAAAAAGGGGAAUGAGAUUCCUUGAGUUGUCUAGUAUCAACUAGUGAAUAAGGGUGGUAAAUAAUGAAUAGGAAGGGUAGUGGUGAAUCCAAGGUCCUAUGCUAAAGGUAAAUGGUAGAGUUAGCUAGGUGGGAGGACAACGAGUGAGUAAAGGACUCCUAUGUAUCUAACUUGACUUCUGUGACUUACUUUAAUAGAUAAUUGCCUUAACUACGCUAGAGCCUUACUAACUGUGUGCGAGGGAUAGCCGAGCUGGUAAGACGCUUAGAAGGUUUUUCACCUAACCCCUUACCGAAAGCGACUAUUGGGCUUAUGGACGCCUUACCUUUUAAGAACUAGCCUGUACGUGAGGAGAACCUAAUGCCGCCCACGAUCUGUCACCUACUAGGGAGUGCGCUCCUACUUUCCGUUCAAGCCAGCGGUAAUCAAAGGUAAUCUUAAGUAUGAGCACCACGCUCACACUUAAUCCUACAACGCUAACUAGUUGCAGCUAGCUAGAGCUCCUAUACAAGAUAGGACGAUGAUGCACACACAGGAGUGGUUACAGGUCACUAACUUCACUAAGACAACUAUAUUACUAAAGUAAAUGCACAACAAGACUAAAAGACUUGCACUAAGUAAGAACUCAGUAAAGUAAAGUAAGAAUAAUAUAUUAAUAAAAGGAAAGUCUUACAAAAGUAGAAAGGUACAAGAGCUAUACCAGACUCUCCAGAAGACGACUCCGGAGACCCCGAGCUUCGCUCGACUCGACUCUAACUCCCACUCUAGACUAACUACUACUCUACUUGUAUGCUUGGAACUUGUAAUGCACUUGGCCUUGGAAUUGCACACUUGAAAUGAAGGGUGGAGGCUGCCUUUUAUAGAGGGAGAUGGAGUAGGGGUUACUCCAUCGCCACGUCAUCGAUCCGCGUGACAUCUUCUCUCCACCCUUGGAUCAAACCGACCUCACAACCGCCAUUUGAUCAACGGCAGGGGCAAAUCAACAUGUGGGACAUGUGGGGAAGGUCGGUGGGGGGCCACCGACCCUGGAACCGCCUUUGAUGUGGGGUCGGGCGACCCCACUUCUGGGCCUCUGGGCCCACCAGCAGUGUCCACAGGGGUCCCUUAUGUCGGUGGACUAGGUGGCACACCUGGGUCCCACCAAAGAGGGGUCGGGCGACCCCCUCCCUGUGGGCCCAGGGUGUCACCUGUUGUCCCCUCGAUCUCCUCUUGAUGAUUCUGAUGUUGGCUUUGUCAAAUAAUGUCUUGAAUUUGUUGUUCCUGCAUAAACAAGCUAAGAGUACAAGUGGAACUAGUUAUGGAUAAAAUAUGUUCAUGUCAUGUCGUUUCCCCUUGCAACCGAGGCAUGUUGACAGUGUUUUGUAUGUGUAUUUCUAUGGUAUAUCCACCGUCAACAAGAUCCCCCAAGCUUAACCUUUGCUCGUCCCGAGCAAACAAUCAAACUUAGCCUCGGUGGAUCAGGUAUUGUUACUAUGUUCACAUUUCAAGAGUACCAUGUGUACAACAAAGUUCUUCUCUUUGCAUGAAAAAUUUAGCUAUGUAAACUUACCCCUAUUACCUUAGUCCCUUAUGGGGCUUAUGGCUUUUCCUUUGUCUUAGGUGGUUGAGAGACAGAACAGUUUGACUUGAGCACUAACUUUCUCAUUCUUAGCAAGUUUCAUAUCAGAGGUUUGUGAUAUUUUCAAAAGAAAGCUUAAAUGUUCCUCUUAUGGUUCUCUCAUGUCACUCAAAUGGUGUAUGAUUCCUCACCAAGGCAUAUGGUAAGAGUUGCCUUCUCUAUUUCAUCCUAUUUCUAAAAGGCUUAUGUGGAGUUCAAGGUAGGGAUGAAAGGAGAUAGCAUACUUACUUUGUAUGUAUUGCGAAGUCAAAGCUCGGAUCCUUGAAGAGAAGUGUCAUACUCCCAGAUCAAGAUGUGCAAGUGUGAUAUAUGGUGGACUAGGUUGCUCCUUUAUUUGAUAGACUCUCUAUGUAUUGAGACAUGGCUAGCAUUUUUUUCUUCUUUUUUUUUAUAUAUGAGCUUUCAUGUGCUCAAUUUUCUUUUUCUGUGGACUUGCACAUGUCCAUCUUUUUAUUUCAUUUUGCCUAGCCUUUUGAUGUCUCAUUUACCAAAUAAUGCUUAGAGAGAUGUUCUAACAUUUAGAGUAUGGAGCAACCUAUUUAGUGGAUGCGAAAUACAUGUGGUUGCGUACUUCCAGUGUAGAAGCAGCAUAUAUAUAUGUGGUGUGUACGUGAUCUUGAUCUUAGGAGCAUGAAAAGUCUCUUAACAAGGGUCAACAAGACUUGACGACACUCAACACAAAGCAAAUAGCUUAUGUGGAAAGGUUGCAAUUAUGUAAAGUAGAUAUGGCUGUGGUAGGAAUUCAUCACCAUUGAGGAACAAUUAAGGUUUUGAUCAUUUUAAGAAUAAAUCUCUGAUAAUCAUGCAUGCUUAGAAAAAUAUUAUAGUAGCUCUUGUCUUACUAUCUCAUGUCCCACAACAACUUAGACUUAGUUCUAGCACUUGCAACCCACAAAGUUUUUAGGUUCAUGGCAGUUUAAGUGAGCUAAGUGAUCCAUACUUAGAGAAAUACUAAGUUGUAUACUAGGCACUAGAGAAACAUUAACAAGCAACUAGUCAUAAUUUCCAUGAGGGAUAUAAACAUACAUGAAGCAUAUAUGCUAAAGGGAAAUGCUAAUAAAUAUUUAUUUUUUUUUAGUAAGAAUGAUAAAAUGCAUGAAAAUAAAUAGGAUAGAAUACUUACCUUAGUGGGGGAGAGGAUCUCCCCCAAGCUAGAUCUUCGCUCACUGUGGUGGCGGGAAAUUUUGGUACCAUCCAGCCCAACGUUGUGCGUCUUCCUCUCGCACACGUCGGAUAUGUUGGCCGUUUUGUAACGCCAGUUGCAAUGUUGCUUCUUGCCCAAUCUGCAAUUCGCCCAUGUCAUUAAUGAGACUGUCCAUACCUGUGGGCUGGUGACGCCUAGCCCUGUCCCUUGGGCGUGGAGUGCGUUGUGGAGGUAGACCCAUGGAGUCUGAAGCAUCCACUGACAUCGCUUCAUCGCCCUCUUCAACGUCAUGGUGCGAGGAUCCUCCUUGCUCCAUCUGGGCGGCUUGCAUCAUCCUUCUUGUCACCCUGCGUGUCCCUGCAACAUCUGGACUUGCCACUUGGGCUAGUCUAAUGGUAAGUGUGCGGACCCCAUACAACCGGCGCCUCGCACAUGGGAGAGGAAUUUCGGUUGUAUAGCCCGGAUAAAUCAUUUUAAGUUCACCAUUUGGAUCUCUUAUGAGCAUGUUAGCAUU
rnacentral:lncRNA from 1 species